AAUGAACGCUGGCGGCAGGCCUAACCCAUGCAAGUCGAACGGGUCCUUCGGGAUUAGUGGCGGACGGGUGAGUAACGCGUGGGAACAUACCCAAAGGUACGGAAUAGCCUCGGGAAACUGGGAGUAAUACCGUAUGUGCUCGAAAGAGGAAAGUUUUAUCGCCUUUGGAUUGGCCCGCGUGGGAUUAGGUAGUUGGUGGGGUAAUGGCCUACCAAGCCGACGAUCCAUAGCUGGGUUGAGAGGAUGAUCAGCCACACUGGGACUGAGAGACGGGCCAGCCUCCUACGGGAGGCAGCAGUGGGGAAUAUUAGACAAUGGGGGAAACCCUGAUCUAGCCAUGCCGCCUGAUCGAUGAAGGCCUUAGGGUUGUAAAGAUCUUUCAGGUGGGAAGAUAAUGACUGUACCACCAGAAGAAGCCCCGGCUAACUCCGUGCCAGCCGCCGCCGUAA
rnacentral:rRNA from 1 species